AAGUGUUAGUUCAGGUAACGAAACUGCGAACAGCUCAUUAACACACUUAUUAUCUCUUUGGCUGCUCCCUUAUGGGAUUAUAUGGAUAGCAGGAGUAAUUCUCGUGCUAAUACAUGCGAUUGUAUUGUUCUAAGUGAUACAGGACUAUAAAGUUGACCUUUUAAAGGCAAGCCAUUUGAAUGAGUGACCUAUCAGCUAGUACUUAGGGUCCUUACCUAGGUAGGCUAUUACGGGUAACGGGCGGUUACCGUCGUACUGCCGGAGAAGGCGCCUGAGAGAUUGCGACUAUGCCUACGGGCAGCAGCAGGCGCGAAACUUUCCCACUCGAGACGUUCGGAGGAGGUAAUGACCAGUUGCUAUGCAAGUUCAACUUGUUAGCAUAGGGUAGCACAUUGAUACUGCUACGCAAUCUAGCAGAGGGCCAGUCUGGUGCCAGCAGCUGCGGUAAUUCCAGCUCUGCGAGUUUGCUCCCAUAUUGUUGCAGUUAAAACGCCCGUAGUCUUGUAUUUUUAAGAAGGUUCUUUCGAGGACCGUUCACUGUGAAUAAACCAGGACGCUUAGAGUAUGGCCACAUGAAUGCUUUAGCGCAGUAUGAAACCUUUGUUUUUUUUCUAAGCGAAAGCAAAGAAGAAAAACAAGACGAAAGAGAGCCAUUGGGGAGCGUUGUAUUUCAUGGCGAGUGGUGGAAUACAUUGACCCAUGAGAGACAAACGAAAGCGAAAGCAGCGCUCAAGAGGGUUUCUAUCGAUCAAGGGCGAGAGUAGGAGUAUCGAACCGGAUUAGAGACCCGGGUAGUUCCUACUGUAAACGAUGCUGACAGGAGCUUGUUUUAAGAAAAGCAGGAUCUUCGGAGAAAUCAUAGUUCAUGAGCUCUGGGGGAAUUACGACCGCAAGGCUGAAACUUGAAGGAAUUGACGGAAGGGCACACCAGGGGUGGAGCCUGUGGCUUAAUUUGAAUCAACACGGGGAAACUUACCAGGACCAGAUAAUUUUAGUGACUGACAGUCUAAAGGGCUUUCAGGAUAAGUUUUUUGGUGGUGCAUGGCCGUUGGUGGUGCGUGGGUUGACCUGUCUAGCGUUGAUUCAGCUAACGAGCGAGAUUAUCACCGAUACUAAUAAUUGGGACUACCUCUGUUUAAAGAGGCGGAAGAUGGUAGCAAUAACAGGUCCGUGAUGUCCUUUAGAUGCCCUGGGCUGCACGCGUGCUACAAUGUGGUAUCCAAAGUGACGUUACUUCGAAAGAAUGAACUACUCACUAAUGUUCCACGUAGUUGGGAUUGACGAUUGUAAUCAUUGUCAUGAACGAGGAAUCUCUAGUAAGCGUGUAUCAACAUUGCACGUUGAAUACGUCCCUGCCCUUUGUACACACCGCCCGUCGCUCCUACCGAUUGAAUGACUUGGUGAAACUGCUGGAGUUUAUAUUGCGAAGGCAUUUAAAUCACGUUAUUUA
rnacentral:rRNA from 1 species